GCGGCUCUAGGGAGCGGAGCGGAAGGGGACCCGGGCCUCCGCCCGAGCGCCCCCGGCCCGCCGCGGUGGGGGCGGGGCUUCGGGGCGGGGCUAUGUGCCGCCAGGAGGCGGGGCGGGGCAGCUGAGCGUGGCCCCCAGGUGGGGCCAUGGAAAAGCAGGAGGCUCCGGGGGCUGCUGGCGGCCUCAGUGGGGAGUCCCCGGGAGGGGCAGCCGAGGGUGUGCCAGGAGGAAUCGGAGGAGUCGAGGCACACGCCGGGCCGCCCCCCGGUGUCGUCCUGUUUCACGGUUCUGGGACCUCCCUGCACUCCGGGGGAGUCGUAACGUGCUGUCCUGGUUCUAGCCGACCCUCCGGGGGGGCAGCAGUCCUCGGUUCCGGGCCCUACCAGCACCCUGCGAGGGUUGCGGACCUCAGCGCUGGGUCCGGCACAUACCCUGACGGAUUAAAUGCCCCCUUCCCUGGAACCAGUGUAUGCAGGACCUGCCGGCCCCGGUCCGGGUGUUCUGGGGUGUUCAACUCGGAAUGCAGUCCACCGCGCUCCGAGUCAACUCUCUUGCACUCCCACAAACCUUGUGAGGACCGGCCCCGCAGCAUCCUAAAAACCAGCACCUCCAUCUUGAUGCAGAAAUCCCCCAGGGCAGAGAAGAAGAAGUCCCAGCGGUGGGAUGAAAUGAAUAUCCUGGCCACCUACCACCCCGCUGGCAAGGAUUAUGGAUUUAUGAAGGUGGAUGAGCCCAGCACUCCCUACCACAGGCUGCAGGACAGUGACGAGGACCCGCCUGGGGCAUCUUCUCGCUCGGUAACUCCCCAGGCACUGGCGGAAAGGUUUGCAACAAUGGACAAUUUCUACCCCAAGGUCCUGCAGUACAGCGAUAACAGAAGCUCGGGGUCUUCAGACAGCUUUUCCAAGACACACUCCAGUGAUUUUGACAAGCACCGAAAGUCACACUAUGAUGAAGGGAAGUUCCUCAAAGCUCAGAGAACUCUUCCCUUCAGUAAUAACAAGCACAACAACGAGGCCAGCACCAGUACGGGCCAUGGCAGUCGGGGCGCGAUGCUGGACCCGGAGCCCAGGCCCGUGGAGAGAGGCUGGACGGGAGGACUGGCCAGAGGAGUCAAAGAUGAGAUUGGCCUGGUGACCAGGAACCACAUCCCAGAAAUCAAGGAAAUCGGUCCCCACCUUCAGCCACCAUCGUGUCGGACCAGGAGAUUGAUCUGCAACGCAAGGAGUAUUACAGCAAAGGAAGGUACCUCAGGUGCUCUCCCCACCCGGAGCUCGAGGAGGACACAGAAGAUGAGCCUGAGCAGCAGGACCCCUCUGCAAAUUUUAACUGGGUGAUUGAGAAUCCCAUAAGCACUGAAGUCCGUCUGCUGGACCACACAGAAAGCCCCGUCCAGGAUCCCCGGACCCCCGAAGAGUCCCUGGCAGGGACAACAUCGCAGCCUGGUGCUGCCCUGUCCUCCAGAGACAGAGCAGAGUCGGGCUGGUAUCCGUGGUGGGUAUCCAAGGGGCUCAACUGGUGAAGCCCAGAAAGCUUGGAGAAGGAACCUGGAAGCAGCCCACACUCCCCACACCAAAACCA